rnacentral:rRNA from 1 species
UACGUAGGGUGCAAGCGUUAAUCGGAAUUACUGGGCGUAAAGCGUGCGCAGGCGGUUUUGUAAGACUGUCGUGAAAUCCCCGGGCUCAACCUGGGAAUGGCGAUGGUGACUGCAAGGCUAGAGUUUGGCAGAGGGGGGUAGAAUUCCACGUGUAGCAGUGAAAUGCGUAGAGAGGCGGAGGAACACCGAUGGCGAAGGCAGCCCCCUGGGUCGACACUGACGCUCAGGCACGAAAGCGUGGGGAGCAAACAGG